GACGAACGCUGGCGGCGUGCUUAACACAUUCAAGUCGAACGGAAAGGCCCUGCUUUUGUGGGGUGCUCGAGUGGCGAACGGGUGAGUAACACGUGAGUAACCUGCCCUUGACUUUGGGAUAACUUCAGGAAACUGGGGCUAAUACCGGAUAGGAGCUCCUGCUGCAUGGUGGGGGUUGGAAAGUUUCGGCGGUUGGGGAUGGACUCGCGGCUUAUCAGCUUGUUGGUGGGGUAGUGGCUUACCAAGGCUUUGACGGGUAGCCGGCCUGAGAGGGUGACCGGCCACAUUGGGACUGAGAUACGGCCCAGACUCCUACGGGAGGCAGCAGGGGGGAAUAUUGCACAAUGGGCGGAAGCCUGAUGCAGCAACGCCGCGUGCGGGAUGACGGCCUUCGGGUUGUAAACCGCUUUCGCCUGUGACGAAGCGUGAGUGACGGUAAUGGGUAAAGAAGCACCGGCUAACUACGUG
rnacentral:rRNA from 1 species